ACUGAUUAAAAAUCAAAAGUUUGUAAAUAAACAGAAUCGAUUAAAGAGCAACCCCCAAAAUCGAUCGAAAAAAACCCUAGCUUUGAGAAUCACAAAUUGCUCAACAAUUCUGGCGAACAAGGCCACCCACAGAUCUUGUCCUCAAAGCUGAGAUCAGGGACCUCAUCUCUUUUCCCAUGCCCACCAUCGUCGCCGUCUCCGGGCAAGCCUCCGCCAAAUAAAAAUAAUCAUUAAUGUGUCAAAACAAAUCCAAAUUCAUCAAUAUGAUAAACAAUACAAGCAUAUCUACAAAAAACAAAUCAACCUGCAACAGAGUCUUGGACACAAUUGAAGUUUUAAAUUUAGACUCAAAAUUUAAACCUCUAAAGAAGUUAUAAGAUAGAUUUAAAGAGGAGUAACCGGCACAGAUGGAUGUCGACACCGAGACCGACGCCGACGAGACUAGGUAGCAACUUUUUCUUUGCCUUUUGACUUCUUUUUGGAAGAGGAACUAAGUUUAACCAUAUAAGAGGGUUUUGAAGGUUCAUGCAUCUCUGGCUCCGUUGCAUGUUGUUGAGAAUCAAACCUAUCUAGGUUGGGAAAUAUAAAAGAUAGAGUGAUGUCGUCAUCAGACUCAGACAAAUCUUUUAAUCGCUUGGAGUGUCGAGUUUUCAUCGUUAUUAGAUUUGAGGAACAGAGCUUAAGGAAGAGGAUGAUUGCAAACUGAAUAAAGAGGAGAACGAUUUUGGGUGAAUUGGUAAAGUAAAAGAGAAAUCUAUUUUGACCACAAGUUUUUGAUGGUAAUUUGGUUUGAUAAAAGGAUUUUUAGGAUUGGCAAUUGAAUUAAUAAAAGGAUUUUUGGAUUUUUGGUUUUAU
rnacentral:lncRNA from 1 species